rnacentral:rRNA from 1 species
GCAGGCUCGCGCUUGAAUACAUUAGCAUGGAAUAAUGAAAUAGGACGUUUGACUCUAUUUUGUUGGUUUCUAGGAUCGACGUAAUGAUUAAUAGGGAUAGUUGGGGGCAUUAGUAUUCAAUUGUCAGAGGUGAAAUUCUUGGAUUUAUUGAAGACUAACUACUGCGAAAGCAUUUGCCAAGGAUGUUUUCAUUAAUCAAGAACGAAAGUUAGGGGAUCGAAGACGAUCAGAUACCGUCGUAGUCUUAACCAUAAACUAUGCCGACUAGGGAUCGGAUGAUGUUAAUUUUUUAAUGACUCAUUCGGCGCCUUACGGGAAACCAAAGUGUUUGGGUUCCGGGGGGAGUAUGGUCGCAAGGCUGAAACUUAAAGGAAUUGACGGAAGGGCACCACCAGGGGUGGAGCCUGCG